rnacentral:lncRNA from 1 species
CGAAGAGCCUACGUAAGUGGAGCUGCUAUAUCUGAUGGCUUGCUCGGUUUGCCCGCUGAGCAAUAUGACUUUCGAGGAAGUUACCUCGGUCGGUCGAUCGAUGCGGUCUAAUGAAGUUCCGGUGCUCUUGUCAUGGUGGUGGUUGGCUAGGUUCUGAUUGGCUAAGUUGAAUAUGCAGUGAUGCAGAACAGAUGUAGGGGGCAACGUGUAUAUAUAGCUGUAGUUCCUUUCUUUCUUUUGUUGGUCUUAUUAGAUGAGCAAUUAGGUCUAAUAGUAGCUAGUUUUAGAUUGGGUUCCUGUUUAUCAGAUGACCUUCCGCGCCAUGGCAAAUGCAAUAUAAUCCUCCACUGGUACUCAGUUCUCUUGUAUACUCCGUCCGUUCCUGAAUAUUAGUCUUUGUAGAGAUUUCAUUAUGGACUACAUACGGAGCAAAAUGAGUGAAUUUACACUCUAAAAUGCAUCUAUAUACAUUCGUAUGUGUUCCAUAGUGGAAUACAUAAGAAUAGUACGGAAUACCAUGUUUGCUUCGUAGCUGAUUUUUUUAAAGAGGCAAACGAUUUGCCUCGUUCAUCAGUUAAGAAGAGGAUAGUUUGUGCUACAACACGACACGGAUAGUGCUACAACAUCCUGAGCAACAAAGAUUCACUACUCUUGCGACAUCAUUUGACCCAAUUUUUAGCACCCACGGUGAACCAUAGCUUGACUUCCUUUUUGACAUUGGCGAGGGCAGAACACUUACACGUGCAUUCCUCUUGUUUCAAAUGGUCCUAGCAACGAGCAUGAUGAGCGAGGUCAUCACCUUCCUAUUGGGGACUCAUUUGUUAGAAAGGCCCACCCACCAAUUUUUGAUGGAUCUCAAGAGGUACCAUGAAGAAGUAUCAACAUUCACAAGUUGGAGCCAGUCUUUGAGCAUCUUCAGUUGUAAUACGAAACAGUAGCAACUGUGAGCCAACAAAGUGCAGUACUAGUAUUAGGGCAUCUCCAGUGCCGACCCGUAAAUUGGACAUUGCAUUCGUUUGCGAACAGAGGACCAGUCUGCAGACACUGAUGCAGGAGCUAGCCAUUCAACACUAUCCGCAUACAUUUCAAACCGGGUUUCAACUAACCGGAUGAAAUUCAUCAAACACGACACAGUUCAUCAAAAUUCAGAUAGAAAAUAACACAAAUCAUCCAUACAUAGCGUGCAAACAAGUCUAGUACAACAAUAGUUCAAAUUCAACGACAUUAACCGGAUGUUCAACAAGUUUAUCAUGAACGGAGCAUGUCGUUCCACACAUACUGCCCCUUGAGUUUUAUCCAACAACGUAUGUGCAUAAAUGGUCUGCCCUCUAACCUGUGGUGCAUCACGACAACACGUACAUGCUACAUAUUUAGUAGAGCAACAUUAAAUGAAUGAAUCAAUCAAUCAUCAAGUUGAGUAAGAAGAAGCAAAACUUAUGAUUUCCACAGUUGCCGCGCAUAAUGGCCACAUUGCCUCUAGCUGAUCAACCGUUUUACAAAACUUGACGACGGUGGUCUGGAUGGUGUACCACCAAUACGCUAACGAAUUCACAUUGCGUUCAUGGAUGAUGUGCAUGUCGUAGGGUGCAAUGUGCUUUCAUGUGUGAAACGAAUCAUGCACAUGCCAGUAGAGCCCCAUUCCGCUCCUGCCUACGAAAUCCGCGGAUACAGCCAACCACGCAUCGCACAACAACUCAUCCUCCAUUCUCGAGUACACCGCCAUCCUUCGUACUCUAAAAAACCGACAUGAAGUUUGAAAAUAAGUUCAAUGGAAUUUGAUCGAACACCUGCCGGGCGUGGUAUCCGCCAUGGACAUCAUCGACAGUGGGCCGGAGAAUACCUGGCUACGAAAGGAUUCUGGGUGGACGACCGCGUGGGUGGUGGUUGCGGACGUCUGACAAUUUCUGGGUUGCGACUGGAGAGGUACAGCGGCGGCGUCGGAGGAGGAGGGCGCGGAUGCCAAACAAGGGGAAGCAGGGACGGAGUGAAAGAGAAUGGGACCGAGAGGGAGAUUUGAGUGAGCCCAAGGUGUCGGAUUUCUACGUGACUGCUGUCCGGACUCCCGCAAAGACGCAAAAUUUAUUUCUAAUUUACGAAACAAGCGCGUCUAAACUGGUCAACGGAUCGAUAUAGGACAACGUUAGAUGGCAAAACACGUCUGAACCACGCGGUCCGGACGGAUGCGGCCGGUUUAAGAUCCGCUUUGGAGAUGCCCCUACCAUGUUUAUGACCAAGAUGAGUUGCAACAAAAUGGGACGAUGCACACAGUGCUAAUCAGGUGCGCCAAACACCUGCCCUGAAGGCCAGAGAGAGAGAGAGAUGGGCAACAUUUAUGUCCCGGAGCGGCAUAAAUGCAGCACUCGAGUGCGUGAUUGCGCUCACGGGCACGACGGAGAGGGAGGCUGGGGACAGCGCCUGCCGUGCCCACCUGAGAAGAUUUCUCCCCUCCCAUUCGAUGCCGUUGGGUCGGCUGCACGCACGGUCACAUCAGCGGCAGGAAGCUUCGCCGGCUCCAAGGGAGGGCCCGUGACGAUUGCCGUGCCUGGCCCAAGGACGGCGUCAGCUGAUGGCACGACCGACACCAACGGAAGGAGCUUUGCGAGCUAUCACCACCGGCCAAGGGGUGGAAAACCCUUGUGAUCUGGAACUAGUGGCUCCUGAUGUUUAAGUUUAGGGUCAUUAUAUCAGGAGAGGGGAGAAAAAGGUGCGUGGUCUUCUACCAAAUGGGAAAUUGAAUGGCAAGCAUGAGCAAGCCUUUUUUGUUCAUAAGGUUCUAAAACACAGGAAUGUACUAUGUGUACACAAAAGCAGAGGACCGGAAAACGCAGAAAUCUUGUCCAAAAAACAUACAAGCAAAGAUUUUUCAUAUCCAAUUCUACAUAGUUGGCAAGAAACAAUUUUUUGUAUCCCAGUAUGCGCAUCCAUACAACAUACAUACAUAAGGAAAACCAGCCCUAAAAACAUAUUGCUUAAUAAAAUAGUCCCUCUGUAAAGAAAUAUAAGAGCGUUUAGAUUACUAAGGCUUUGUUCGGUUACACCCUGCAUGAAGGGGAUUGGAGGGGAUUUUUNNNNNNNNNNNNNNNNNNNNNNNNNNNNNNNNNNNNNNNNNNNNNNNNNNNNNNNNNNNNNNNNNNNNNNNNNNNNNNNNNNNNNNNNNNNNNNNNNNNNNNNNNNNNNNNNNNNNNNNNNNNNNNNNNNNNNNNNNNNNNNNNNNNNNNNNNNNNNNNNNNNNNNNNNNNNNNNNNNNNNNNNNNNNNNNNNNNNNNNNNNNNNNNNNNNNNNNNNNNNNNNNNNNNNNNNNNNNNNNNNNNNNNNNNNNNNNNNNNNNNNNNNNNNNNNNNNNNNNNNNNNNNNNNNNNNNNNNNNNNNNNNNNNNNNNNNNNNNNNNNNNNNNNNNNNNNNNNNAAUCCACUUCAAUCCCUGUCAACCGAACGCAGCCUAAAGAGGAUCAGGAGUCAGGGAGAAGACUGCAUUACUUCUGCAUUAUUUGUUUUCCUUCUUGUGAUUGCUACCAUCUGGGCUUGGGCGCUGCCAGUUCUAACAUGCCGGCAAGUUUGCUCAUCAGUUUUCGCAUUUCCCUCUAUUUUAGUAUCUGGAGCCCCUGCAUUUUCAUGCCAAGAAGCCGCCACUUUCCUCCUUUUACUAGAUAUUUCAUACUCAUCAGGAUACCCAUCACCGGUAGACGUCUCCUUUUCAAGUGUAUCGGUUGCUUCGACAGUGAAUGAACUAAAACGGUUCUCUCCAACACUAGUGACAUGCACAGCAAUUUUCUGCAAGACUGGAGGGUCCAAAGUGUCGUUCCCAAUUUGGUCAUCAACAUCCGCUUGCAAGAUAAGGUUCUGCGCCGCAUCAACAACAUGGUCCUCACCGCACCCUGGCACUGCAGCAGCAGCAGGUUCUUCCUGUUCAGAACCUGAUGGAGGUCCAGCAUUUUCUUUCAUUGAACUUGGCUUAUUCUCAGAAGCAUUCAAGUUCUCUCCAAGUCCAGUGGCAUUGAAAGGUUCACCAAUCGCCCCCUGACCUGUACUUACGUCUAUUCUCAUGUCCACAGUGUCAUCAACUGCAUCAUCCUUCUCAGAUGCACUAGUGAUUUUUUGCAGUUGAUCAUCAUGUGAAGAUACACCCAAGAUCUUGCCAAAUUCUUGACCAUCAGACAAUUUGUUUUUCGUUCUCUGAUCUGCAACGCUGUCAGGAUCAACAUGAGCGGCGUCCAUGCAAUUGUCUUUCGUGAAUACAUGAACGAUCUCCUCAGCUGCACUGUUAAUCACAGGUGCAUCAACACUCUCCUGUGGUUCAUGAGUAACCUUCUCCUGGAUCUUAUUGUUAUCCAUAGGUUCAACAUCCUCCUGCACCUCCACGGUCUCAAUGAGCACACAUGAAGUUAGCAGAUGACCUUCUCCAUUCUUCAUUUCUGCAUCUGAAGCCUCCUCCAGUGUAGCAUCCUUAGGAGAUGUAUUCAUAAACUCAGUCACAGCAUCCUCUACAGGCGUGCUCAUUAUGUCCCGCAGAUUGACUUCUGUCAUGGACACAGAAAGAGGAUCUUCUUUCUGAUGAUGCACAUCCUCGCUCCGGUUGGUGGUGCCAUCUCCUGUAGGAUGAGAAGCUGCAGCUGUUCCUCCUGCAGGUUGAAUUCCCCUCGUUUGGUCCAAUUGUAGUAUGGUAUUUCCCUCCAUGCAAUCAUCAGUGACUUGUUCCAGCUUUGUAACAGUAGCUUGAACAAAAUCCACAGAAGCUGAAUAGGUCGUUGCUGACUCAACACCCACAUUUCUCAUUUCAGUUGGAACAACAAUUUGCAUAACCUGCAGCGGAGUUGAGGGCAUAACCAUAUGUCGAUCCGUAUAGUUUAAGCAGCCUGGUUCAUUAGCACGUGGCGUAAUAGCAAACCGCGCCUCCUCUAUUUCAGCAGUAAUAUACAUAUCAAUACCUUCAAGUGAUUCUUUGACCGUCUUCCCGUCGAUUUCACCUGAUAACAACGCUCUAAUUCGUCCCUGCACCGUACUUACGAGAUCAACCUGUUCGUGGUCAAAUACACUUGUCAAAGACAUAUAAUACAGACAGCAAAGUGACAGAUUUCAUUCUACAAUUCUUACCAGAGAUUUCUCACUGUGCCCAGAUAACUGAUAGGGUAUAACCGGACAUUCAACUGGAGUGGAGAUCCAUCGACGUGUAAUCUGCCAGUACCAUUCUAAGUAACAAUUCCUUGCAUGAGUAGGGUCUGAAUUCACGGCAAUCUGCUGGCCAGCGACUGAAUGGAGUCUGUUAUCCCACUGCUUAAUGUACCUAUCAUGGUAGGUAGACCAAUCCUCAUCAGUUUUUCCCUGCAUUGUAACACGCUCAAUUGCCUCAACUUGGCCUGGAAUGUGCUGCAUCAUUCCGAAUUGUAGUAAGACACGAUCAGGCACAUGCAUUUCCACUAUCUGGAAGCAGAUUAAUGGAGUUCUUGAUCGCCAAACGGCAGAUCCAACUGUGCAUAGCGCAGGCAGGCCAUCGAUCAGACUUGGUUUGUACGGGUCCCAUGUUAUCUAGAGAACAUGCAAAGAUGAGCUGUAGCGCUGUGCUCCUUAUAGUGUGCACAUGGAUAAGAUGUAGUAUUAUUCUUUACUUAUGAAAAGUCAUACAUUCGUACCUGACAAUCUUCUAUAGUAUCAAGCCCAUGCCUGUAAAAUUCCUGGUCUAUGGAUCGGACAUUUUCACGGUUCUUGAAAGGUACGUCCCAACUGAUUAUAAAAUGAUGUUCAUUUCCGGGAAUAAAAUAAAGCAAAAUAAAGGGAAUGACUUACAAUACAAACCUGCAUCCAAGGGGCUGAUCGCCGGUUAGAGACUUAUUCUCCAGUCUUUCAGGACGGCCUAUCUGGAUAUGCUCCUAUGCCCAUAUCUGCAAUGUGUAUUGAUUUGCCAUUAGUUGCUGUACUAAGCAAAAGUACUGCAUGGCUGGGGAAAUAUACUACCUGAAGAAGAGUGAGAAAAGCACAACAGUUAGCCUUGCCCUUCAUGCUAGCCUUUCCAAGUUCUCUGUAGAGAUGAGCAAGAACAGCAGCCCCCCAUGCCAUCUCCCCUGAGGCAUCAAAAUCAUGAAGCAGUGCCAAGUAUCUUAAGUGCACGCGGGUCCCACUCGGGUCAGGAAAUAAACUGCAGCCAAUUUGAUACAUUAUGUAGGCCCGUGUAGCAUGCUCUAUUUCUGACUGAUUAGCCCCUUCUGGCAAGUUACUAAAAGUGUGAUACAACCACGCAAUGUUGAUAGAACCACCUUUUAUCUGUGGAGGUUCUUGGCCUAGUAGCUCUAAGCACAAUUGUUCCCAAUGACAGCCUGUUGCACCAGUCACAGGAGUACCAUCUACACGAAGUCCAGUAAGAACGGCCACAUCCUUCAAGAGCACGGCCAUCUCCCCAAACCGCAAGUGGAAGGUCUGUGUUUCACGCCGCCACCUUUCGACCAAAGCAUUCAACAAAGCAUGGUCCAACUGAACCCUCUUCAAGAAACACAGGUGGUAAAAUCCAGCUCGCUGCAAUAUCGCAAGCAUUCCCUCAUGCUUCACCUCCCAUUGGUUAAGUCUUGUGCCAUGUUCGAUAAACCUAAUAGGUUUGUACGCCUGCAUUUUUUAGCCCAAGUGGGCAACAGCAGAAGAGUGUCAAUACCUUACUGGAGCAUCUUUACAGAAAAACAUAAGGAAAACCUCUAAACUGUUACCUUCCCAACAGAUAUAGCUUCAGAUUUAUGAAGCUCUUGCUCUACAAGAACUGAUUUAUCGACAGGACCAGGAUCCAGGUUCUGCUCCAUUUACAGCCAGCAGAGAAUAGUAGCUGCUGUAAUAUGCCUAACAAAGAAGGACGAUAAUGACCAACACAAGACAGCAUAUCAGUUCAUAAACUGAUAGAUGCAGUAUAUUUUUUUACCGAAUUCCCCCUUUUACCCUCUAAUAUGACAGGAGUGGCAGUGAAUACUUUAUUUAAGGAAUUUGGGACCAACAUACCAGAUUUAUAACCUGAAUACCAAAAUGCACACUCUGGAACCAUUUAGUUAUUAUUUUUGAUGCUGAUUUUACAUUCAGUUCUAGUCGUUUCUUCUCUGUAAAAUUUCAGAAAAUUAUUCUCCAUUACACUAGAUUUUUUAAUUAUAUAUUUUUUGAAUCGAUUUUACUUCUAUCCUACGCCUCCAAUGUGUCAUCCCAGACAGCAGCCACAGGAGUGGACCAGUUUCGGUGGAGCCGGGCAAAUGGUUAAACAAUGUACAUUUUGGUAUUUAUAUUUUAAAUCCAUCACAUUGGUGGAAUUUUUCAUAAAUGGAGUACACUUGUGCCAACUUGGAGGGUAAAAAAAAUCAUAGUUUUAAAUAGCCGGCUAUAGCGCUAUAGCCCGCUAUAGCCUUUUUAGCAGGGUGCCGCUAAAUGGUCGCCUUCACAAAUAGCCCGCUAUAGCUGAUUUGGAGGCCCGCCGCUAUUUUCCAUAGCCCGCUAUUUAAAACAUUGAAAAAAAAUGCAAUUCACUCAUAGGUAGUCAGGUACACAUGUUCUAGAAAAAAGUAGUCAAGUGCAAUACUAUCAGGCACUCCACAAGCAAGAAAUGUAAGAGUGACAACAUUUGUAUGCUAGACGGUAGAUUAGGGGAACACAGGCCACGGUUCAUCUAUAACACGAGCUUAACCAUCAAGCUCCGGCGACAAGAACUAUAACUACCGUGCCAAAUUUCCAAGGAUUUCUGAGCACUGGUAGAAUCUACACUCUGGCACUCUGCAUCUCAAAUGCAUCACACCAUACUGGCCCUAUUGUAAAACAUCAUGCCAAAACCUUACUGGUUUUGCCCCAGCCUCACAGAAAUGGCCGAGACGCACACGGAAAUGCAGCAAUGCAUUGCGCACAGGCACAGCGUACAGCUACAAGGCAACAAAAUGGGGGCAUCAGAGCUAGGGUUUGACCUGCGCUCGGGGGACGUUGCGCCGCCGAGGUUCGCGCUAAGCUCACCAACCAGCGUCCGUGGCAGCUUGCCGCGCGCGCUCGGCGUAAGUCGCAGGGGAGGCGAAGCCGGCGGCGUGUUGCGGGUGGGGGGCGUAGCCGGCGGCUAGUUUCCCUCCGGCUCCGGGUAAGGUCGUGAGACUGCCUCGGGCUGGACCGAGCGGCCCACUAGCAUACGCAGGCCUCGCGGGCCGGGCCUCCACGGGCUCCCCCGUCCCUGUGUCCCCGUGCGGCGCGCUGCUCUCUCACGCUCCGCGUCCGCGGCAGCGUGAGGCGUGAGCCGUCCACAUCCUGUCGCGCCGUCAAGUAACUGCUACAUGGCCUGGUGCGCCCUGCGCAGCCGCCUCCUCCCGCUCUCCCCCUCCUCCUCCGCCGCCGCCGCCGCCGCGACGCCCCACCGGCUCCUCCUCUGCCUCCUCUCCACCGCGGCCCCGCGCCACUCCCACGGCCACCACCACCGCCGCCGCCACUCGCCCGCCGCCUACGCCGCCGCGGCCGAGGAGUCGCCGCGCCCCAUGCCGCCCAUCGGUCGCGCCACGCGCCACCCCGCGGGGGCCACCCCCAUCGCGCGCUUCUACGCCGACGCCAACUCCCAGCGGCCCAAGGAGUACUGGGACUACGAGGCGCUCGACAUCGAGUGGGGGUAAGGGAGGGGUGGGAGCCCGUGCGUGACACUCCAGAUUUGCUGUUGGCUAGGGUUCGCGCUCUGAUGCUGGCUGCCCCUCUGCGGGCGUGCUUUGCUUGCUUGCGUUGCGUGCAGGGAGCAGGAUGGGUACGAGGUGCUGCGGAAGGUGGGCAAGGGCAAGUACAGCGAGGUGUUCGAGGGAUUGCGGACCGGGAGCGAAGAGAGGUGCGUCAUCAAGAUCCUCAAGCCCGUGAGGAAGAAGAAGGUAGUAUGCUGCCUCUGUGGUUGUUGUGUUAUGUCAUUUAUCUGAUAUUGUUCGAUGCUAAAUCUGAAGAUGGCUAGGGUGCCACAAUCUUUAGUUGGAUAAUGCAAACUUAGCUUCGUACAAAUGGUUUAUAAAUCUUAUCAUUGGUCGAUGUGGUUUGGUAAUAAUUCAGGAGGUUGUGGAAGGGUGUGACAACGUGGCUCCAUGGAACUAUUGUGUUAUUGUGUGUGUUGAACAAUUUCAGAUGAAGCACAUAUUUGGUUUUAGAUUUUAACCAUGCGAAAGCAGAUGCAAUGGAAACAGUGAGAAAUUAGAGAUGUGAAGUUCUGAGAGCCCCCAUGCACCACUUCCCCCAUAGGUGGUUAAGGGUGUGGCACAGUAGAAAACCUCCUCUUCUCCCCUNNNNNNNNNNNNNNNNNNNNNNNNNNNNNNNNNNNNNNNNNNNNNNNNNNNNNNNNNNNNNNNNNNNNNNNNNNNNNNNNNNNNNNNNNNNNNNNNNNNNNNNNNNNNNNNNNNNNNNNNNNNNNNNNNNNNNNNNNNNNNNNNNNNNNNNNNNNNNNNNNNNNNNNNNNNNNNNNNNNNNNNNNNNNNNNNNNNNNNNNNNNNNNNNNNNNNNNNNNNNNNNNNNNNNNNNNNNNNNNNNNNNNNNNNNNNNNNNNNNNNNNNNNNNNNNNNNNNNNNNNNNNNNNNNNNNNNNNNNNNNNNNNNNNNNNNNNNNNNNNNNNNNNNNNNNNNNNNNNNNNNNNNNNCCCUCCUUGUCACGUGUUCAUGGGCCAAUGAGCUAUUGUGUGCAUAGGCUGGAUGCGGAUGCUUCAACAACCACUGCGUCCGGCGUGAGUCAGCAAGCUAAGUCUUUUUGUGGGGGCUUCUCACCGAUCACUGGUGAGCAGCAUCAGAAGACAAGAAAGUUGAAAUUAAAAUUUUGACUGUGAACAAAAUAGUUGUCCUGUAGUAAAUCGCUGUUUCCAUGUGUCAUCUCUAUUUCCUUCUUUCAUUGUUAAGCCAUGUUGGAACUAUCUCCUCAAAACUUCUCAGGGUCAUCCUUAGAACUGUCCUUGACUCUGUUCUAGGCCUUCGUAAAAGUUGUGAUUACUGGUCAAUUUUAAUUUCAGAUGCUGUAAACCCUAGCAAUUGGGUAUCGAAGAAAUCUGGUGUUUGGUCUAUUGCCCAUCUAACUGCAUAUUGGAGUAUCAUGGACUGGUCCUUAUUCCCAUAUAGAAGUUUCUUCCCUUGUAUCUAACUUGGGAAAUAGUGAUUACAAAUUACUUGGUUGUUUCUAGGUGUUAAGAAUGUGUUAGCAUAUGCCUCACUUUAGGACCAAAUACAGUUCAAUGAUGCACCUAUGCUGAUGUGUUAGCAUAUGCCUCACUUUAGGACCAAAUACAGUUCAAUGAUACACCUAUGCUGAUGUGUUUGGUUAUCUAUUUGCUUCAUUGCAAAUUACUGUCAUUGCAUCUUGUAAUGUACCUGAUGUGUCCUACUACCAAACCUUAUUGAAUUUUUUAUGAUGAUGCAGAUAAAGAGGGAAAUAAAGAUACUUCAGAACUUAUAUGGCGGACCUAACAUUAUAAAGCUACUCGAUGUUGUCAGAGAUGAUGAUUCAAAGACGCCUAGUCUGAUCUUUGAAUAUGUCAACAAUACUGACUUCAGAGUACUCUACCCCACACUAUCGGAUUACGAUAUCAGAUACUAUAUAUUUGAAUUAUUAAAGGCAAGAAUCUGAACUGGAAAAGUAUUCUGACGUGGAUAAUAUUCAUAUGGUCUUCUCUAUAUUGAUUUUUCUUGGUGCAUUUCUGUUUUCUUAUUUUAAAAAUAUUAGUAUUAAUAUUGCAUAAUCGGCAAACUGUAGAGCAUUGUGGCUUGUUUCAUUCUAAUCAUGUUUUCCCAAUACAUGAAUUCUUUUUAUCUGUAGUGUGAUUUCAUAAUUGCUGCCUUCCUCCCCUUGUUCUGUAGCUGUAUUUUGAAAAAUACUAGUACUUUUGUGGACCAAGAGUGACAUCUCUUUCUACAAACUACACUGUUUGAGAGUUAAUAGCAUACUUAGCUUCUUUCAUUUGAUUUUGUUUGGGUUGGUAGAAUCUCAUGGGUGGACAGAGUCGAAUUGCGUCAAUGUGUACUUCUACAAAUGACCUACAAUAUUACUACCUAUUUUGCAAUAUUCAAACAUAUCAGUAUGUCACUGGCACAGUUUUGCAGAGCAACUCUGUUUGCUGAAGUUUGCACUACUUCAGUGGCCAACACUGGAUGCAACAUACUGAACAAGCAUUUAAUUUGAUGGUCUUUAACUUUUUCCAGGUGUUUGUGUAGGCACUAGAUUUUUCUCACUCACGGGGUAUCAUGCAUCGAGAUGUCAAGCCCCACAAUAUCAUGAUUGAUCAUGAGAAACGCCAGCUUCGUCUUAUUGAUUGGGGUCUCGCUGAGUUCUACCACCCUAGGAUGGAAUAUAAUGUUAGAGUUGCUUCAAGGUUAGUACCACAAGCUCUGGAAGUUGGAUGUCAUUAGACUUAUUCAACUUGCUAGUAAGGGUAUUUUAAUUUUUAAGUACACUUAUGCAUGUAAAUUUUUAAUAUUGCAUUCACUUGUGGACCUCCUACGGUCCUCUGUUCUGUAUGACUUUAGCAGAUUUAUGAAACGGGACUCAAUUCUAGAGCUCCUUUAUGUUGGACCUGCUUGGUUUUGCCCAUAGCAAUUUUAAAUUCACCUACCUGACUCAUUGGAAUGAGUCGUGUAGGGAUUCACAGUAGGUUAUGCCAUUAGAGUAUCAUCUGCAUAUAUAAAGAUCAAAGUAACCGUCUCCAAUGUUUCUAUUAGUGUCUAUAGUUGCAACUGCUGGUUGAUAUUCUCUAUUAUUUUUCUUCUGUUUAUCUGGUUGAUAUUCUCUAUUAUUUUUCUUCUUUUUAUCCAUGGCUUACUGCAUCCUGUGCUGUUGACAGAUGCUAUAAGGGCCCUGAAUUACUUGUGGAUUUGCUAGACUAUGACUACUCAUUAGAUUUGUGGAGCCUUGGUUGCAUGUUUGCAGCAAUGGUAAGGAGCAAGUCUAUGAUCAGGCAAUCAUCUCUAUUAACUUACUUCUAAUGAUACACAUUCUGAUUUUCUUAACAGAUAUUCCGUGUGGACCCUUUCUUUCAUGGUCAGGAUAACUACCAACAAUUAGUCAAAAUAACCAAGGUAUGUUUGCAGCUUCUUAAAGCGGCCAACUUCUGUUCUAGUAUUUCUCACUGGCAUUUUACUCUUACGCUAUGAAAUGACAUCUUUUAUGGGUUUCACCUCUAGCCUACCCCAACUUGUUUGGGACUAAAGGCUUUGUUGUUGUUGUUGUUGUUGUUGUUGUUAUGAAAUGACAUCUUUAAUUACGAGAUGUUUGAACUAUAAAUUGAUCAUGCUAGUAGAGUACCUGUGCAUUGCUGCGGACCUUAGAUAAACAAACUAUGGACGCACAUUUUUCUUUUGCACUUCCCCCUGACUCGACAUCCACUAUGUUAUACACAAUUACAUACAUUCUAACACGGCAUGUGUUCCUAUGAAUCUUAAAUAGUCCUCGUGAUCGCUAGAGGUAAGUCGCUGUGUUGUUAUGGAUCUUAUAUAGGCAUACCACAAUCACUAGAACACAAAUUAUCGUCUUUUUCCAUUCCUUUUCGUAUGUCUGUUAUGCCUCUAGCUCUACCACGGGUUUGUUAUGGCUCCUAAAUAGUCAUACAACAACUGCAAGAAGAUGAUGCGUCCUUUUCCUCCCUUCGCUUGCCUCUUGGCUUCAUCUUUGACUUCAUUGCAAAUAUGCCUUUGCUCUGUUCUGUUGGGAAUGAGUUGCUUUGAAUAGACAUGCAACAAUAACAAGAUGAUACAUGUUUUUCCUCCUAGUGCAACACAUUGCCGACAGUGCUUAAAUAUCAGUGACAAUUAAUAUGGGUCGGAGGGAGUACUACAUAUCUCAUUGCACUGCGUUAUGCAAUUGUGGUGUUUGCACUGCCUUGUUAACACGAGUGCUACUGCCCUUAAGGUCAUUAUGACUGGCUACCAUAUAUGUUGUUUUAGUUUUACAGUAAUUUUUUGUCAGCAGUUUUAGUUGAACAGUUUGCUCUUGUUCCAAUGCGCUGAAGAAAUGGUUGUUUAACACAUUUAGUAAUUCUAUUUCAUAGCUAUGGCCUAGCGGCAAGAUGAAUUAUGAUACUCGCUUCUCUUGUUCCAAAGAAUCUAUUGCUUUCUGCAGUCCAUUUUUCUGAAUGAAUUGAUAGUGUUUGAUACGACUAAUAUAUGCACUACAUGCUGCUGCUGUAGGUUCUUGGCACAGAAGAUUUCCACCGGUACCUCGAAAAAUACGGUCUUCGGCUUGACCCACAGCUUGAAAUGCUUGUUGGAAGGUCAUGGAUUGAUUUGGAUUAUCCUUGGGAGAAUUAUUUUCAGAAAAACAGUUAACAUAACAGCAAGAUCUAACUAUAUAUUUAUGGCUGCAGACACAGGAAGAAGCCAUGGGAGAAAUUUGUUGACUCAGGGAACCGACACUUAGUGAGCCCUGAGGUGACUCACGUUCCUUUAAUCAACCUGGUCCACUACUCACUGGAUGUGUUAUUGACAUGAUUUCACCUGUGCAGGCUAUUGAUUUUCUAGACAAGCUUCUUCGUUAUGACCACCAGGAAAGGCUUACAGCAAAGGAAGCCAUGGUAUCUCUCCCACUCAUACAUCCAAGAAUCAUUUAGCCGGAUCAAUACGAGAUAUUACAAUUUCUACAUUGUUUUCACUUAAAAAUCUAUCAUUUUGCUGUGCAGGCUCAUCCCUAUUUUGGCCCAGUAAGAAGCUCUGAAAGCACCCGGGAGAAUGUUCAAUAGUGAUUUGCUACACCAUCAUUGUUCGAAGAACAUGGCAUAUUUGACAAUUUUGAAACAGCAUGUCGAACACAUAGACUAACAGAGAGUGAGUGUAUUUGAUUUUGAUAGCGCAUCCAUGGUUUAUCCAAAAAAAAAACCCUGCUUUGAACGGCAUGUAAUAGUCAUGUCAUUUUUUUAUAUUUGAAUUAAUUCUUAUUUCGCUGUUGACCGCUCUGAAUUAUUAUUUUUAUCAAUAAGAAUCCAUGCCAGUAAAAAGUCCAAAAGUAAUGGGUUAUACGUACAUCCUUACCCAGAAAUCUUGGGCAUCAUCAUUAUUCUCAUAUUGUUUUGCACAGAGGUUUUGUUUGCGAGGGGCUCGGACGUUAUUUCACUAUGAGUUCCCUUAUCUAUGUACAUGUACGUCCCUUGAUCUUACAUGUAUGCCUGUUGCAAGUGUUUGUUGUUUCCUGAUCGUGUGCUGUGGUAUGUCUGCUGUGCAAGCAUCGGAUAUCCUGCAGCACGGUCAAUUUUUGAGGUGGUAGUAGACCGAAAGAAUAAAAACACGAGCCGUCGAUUUUAAACCGAACGUCUGAAGUGAUUGAAAAAAGAGUCGAAAUAGCCGAACAGGACACGCCGUCGUGUGCAUCGGCUGUACCCGUGCACGCCACGGUUUCCACAGGACACGUUCUCAUGAGCCCCUCGGCGUGGGCCGGUGCUCUACCGCGUCGUGGUCCCUGGCUUAGCAAACAGGAUGCUAUAGGCCUCGCAUGUCCUACUCUCAUGCACGCACCACUGUCCACGGAGAUCAGGAUUUGGGCACUGGCACCACACGUACUUGCCUGCGUGUACGUGUGACAGCGUUACGUGCCUGCUCGCUCCUGGUACGGUAAAGCCACGACAUAUGUGGUGGUCCCGUGUGUCAAGGCCGGCGGUCCGCGGCAUCGACCAACGCCGGCCGGCCCCGUCUAGGGGUUAGAGUUUAGGGUCUGGUUCACACUACCUUGUGUUGUCAAUUCAAGUGCUUUACACCUCCAAAGCUUUGUUUCCUGUCUUCUUCCUCUCAUGUCCCGGCUAGGACUCUUUCCUUUUCCUUUGCGGCCGUAUUCAGCACACUAGUUAGGUUGGAAUGCCUGGAUCAUUGUUGGUUGGUUUUGUGACAGGUUAUUAGUUAAAUUUCAGUGCUUCCCAGUUCCCGCUCAAAUCCAUUCCGUUGAUCCGGACUUCCGGAGAUGAUUUGUGCCACGCACCAUGGGUUCCAGGUCAAACUGAUGUUGACAGCUUGAUUCUCGCCUGGGUUUCUGUUGAUUAACUGAGCAAAUCUCUCCGGCUUAAGUAAUCAAUGAAUCAAAUCUUUUGCCUCCGUCUUAGAAAAAAUUGUAUUAACGAUCAAACCAGCCAUGGCCACAACCCAGAUUGUCUUCGGGGUCGUCUGUUCGGACUUUGGACCGCCUAUUCAAAAUCAUGUGUUGGUGUAAUUGAGUGCCCCGAGAGUUUUGGAGAUUGUUGGACAGAAACAGCGCGGGACUAAAGUGUUGGUAGUGCACACAAAGAGAUUAGGUCCCUGGAAUUCAGAGAAGUUUGCUGUGAACUCAGAAGAUUAUUAUCUGCGAAGUAGAGAAGAAUGCUAAGGUAAUUGGGAAGAUUGGUAUCGAAGAGUUUGCGUGCCGGAGAUGACCCCCAAAUUAUUGCCAAGUCGAAGCAAUUGGUACGCGAGGCGUCCGAGAGAAAAUGACCGCAUCAAGAGAAAUGAAGACGUAGCAUUUUCGUUCUUUCAUUUUCUUUCAUUGGGUCAUAGGACCACCGUACUAUUAAGAGGAGAUCAGAGCAUUGAGACUUAUGUCUCUAUGAUGCUUAACUGAAAAAUAUCCCAAGUUAGAUGAGAAAAAUCUCUUAGUGUGAAAAAUAGCGACUUGCCAGCCAGAGACGAAGUUCUUCUAGACUACAAGAGAAUUGGUCUAGCAGAGGAGUCAACUUUGUUUGUUCCUCAAGUAAAGUUGUCGGGUGAGUUUGAAAUCUGACUGUUGGUUAUUGGCUGGGCUCUAGGCCCCAAAUGGUAAUUGCACCCUCGGGGUCGCAAGGUUGAAAUUACCAACCCCUGCCUGCCGUUUCAAUCGGCUCUACUAUGGUUCUUGGAGUUGCAAUAUGGGGUCUGAUCAGUCACUGUCUGCAGAUGCGCCUAGAAGCUUCCGCAGGCGUUUGGCAACUCAAUUUAGGUAACCGUGGUUGUAGAUAGUCUUAGGACAUCUCCAACGUUGACCCGCAAAUUGACUCAUGCAUUCAUCCACUGACACGGGGACCAGUCCGUGAAUAAGUUCCAUUUAUGUUGGUCUAGUGAUAGGGCGCUCUUGAAGCUUGAGCCUCCCUCUACCGUAGACUUCGCUUCUUUUCAUUAAUGACAUCUGGUCCGGUCUCCAUUUCAGAUGCAGGAGCAGGCCAUCUAAUGUUAUCCACAUACAACUCAAACAAGGUUUAAAAUAAACGGACGGACUACAUGCAAAACGGACGAAAACAUUUACAUCUCGGACAUAUUUUAGCUAAACUAUAUCGAACUAGGCUAAACCUAGUCUAAAAUGCCUGCCGUGACAGAUCUCCACUUCCACGACAUGUCUUCCCCAUGUCCGGCAGCCCGCUCGCCAGAAUGCCGGGAGCCCUGGAGGGAUAUGAUUUAGUGAGAGGAGAGGAAUAGCCUCCGUCUUGUUUGGCCGCGUCGCUCAUCAAAGUGGCACCGGAGGGAUAUGCUUCAGGCGGAGGGGAAGGGUGGCCUCCGCUUCCAUGAAGCAUGGAUCAGGGUUGGUUUUAGGGGCGGGGGACGACGGUGUCCUGCGAAGCGGGCAAGACACCACUUGUGCACGCCGGGGACGCGCCGGCGGUGGCCUUACUGGGACCAAGCGGCGGCGGCCUCCCAUGUUCUACUUUUCUCGAUGUUGGCGGCCGCCGUGGAUGUGCCGGCCGCCGCCUUGUCGAUCUCCGUGAAGCCGGCUUCUUUCUCCGCCGGCAGGGCGCGGUCCCGCAAAUGUUGACGGCGGAUAGCGCGACCGCAUGCCGGGAUGACCGGUACGACACGACCUCAUCCACGGCAACCAUGAUGCCCGUGCUACCGUGCUCCCUCGCAUGCCGGCCUGAAGCAACUCGUCACUCCUCCGUGAGCUGGCUUGGAGCGACAAGUUGCCGAACCACACGCCGGCUUGGAGCCUCGCCCAUGGUACUGACGACCUGGAGGGGCGAGGGAGGUGGAGCAGCGAGUUGCCUGGCUCGUAUCCAGCGGGCUCGGCGGCCCACCUAGCCGGCUUUUAUGCCGGAGAACUCCUCUUCCUGCUCACCGGAUGCCAUGAUGAGUGUGGAGAAUGUAGUGUAAGGAGGAGAUGGAGAGCAGAGGUGUGGUGCGAUUCUUCAUCUGGCUUCUGCCCUCGUUUAAAUAGCGGCGAACGGGAGGAGCCAACCGGCGUUGUGUUUAAUGCCAGUUGGCUCUCGAACGGACGUGUUGUCGGAGUAGAUUUCUCGACACACGUGCGAGUUUAAUGGAGGUACGCGGGCAGUAUGUAGCCGUUUGAAUGCGGAGAGAAGGCGUGUUCAGCCGGGCGUGCAGCGGGCGGCGCUCUCUCGGCCGGCACGCCGCUUCAAAUGCUGGUAGUAAUAGGUCGCGUCCACUCCGUGCCGGCGUCGGGAACACACACAUGCGAGAAAUGCAAGACGCGGAUGUGGCACCUGUUUGGACGUCCGCAAAACCCUCCACUUUAUCUUUAGUUUACGGGAAAACUCACGUCUGACAAGACCAUAUUGGAUGACAAAACAUGUUCCAACCUGCAUGAUCUAAACUGUUGCGGGCGGUUCGAGGACCGCGUUGAAGUUGCAUGUCCCCGCCGGCAGAUCUAUCAAUGCAAAAAAUAUCCUGGCGCUUGCUACUGUACGUGAUGCAGAAUGUGGCAACGAGGUCAUAGGACUAGGAUUACUAGACUAUGGGUCCAGUUAGGCAAUUCAAUAUUUUGGCCACAGCUUAGCAUCUAGUACUCCAGUACUGCUGAUUAGUUCGUCUAACCCGAGAAGCUUGCGAAUCAAUCGACCGCCAUGCGACGUGAUAAAAUUCGAUCAGCCUGUCGUUCGGGAGUUGCUCCAACUGGCAUGCAUACAAGCCGUCCGACCACUGGACACCAGAAGGCUGGCUCUGCGUCCAUGUCUCCGCUUGUAAACCACCCGCCAGAAUGCGCCACCGUGAUACUAUGAGUGAUUGACAAAAAACUAUCACUAUAGGGUUACCAUCCCACAGAACUACCACUUUUUAAAAACUAACCGAAAACUAUCAAAUUUUUCUAAUUUUAUGACAAAAACUACCACUUUCGAAUAAUGACCGGUUUAGAUGAUUUAAACGUGUUGACCGUUAAGUUGACUGUUAUUAUAGACAGGUCCCACACGCCAGCAUCAAUCUUCGUCCUCCUCUCUUCGUGGCAUUUUCUCGAACACCUCAUGUGCACUUGCGCUAUACCUCCGCCGCCCUCCACCGCCAGCGCUCGCCUGUCGAAAAUCUGCGUUUCCGGCGAGGCGAGGCGCGCCCCGGCCCGCACCGCGUCCAUCCGCACCUCCUCCGGCUCCUCUGUUCCGCGCUCCACCCCCAUGGCCGCGACAUUCGUCGGCGCCGGGUGCCUCGCCCCAGCGUCUGCCUGCGUCGUGCCUCGUCGCUCGUGCCCGACGUCGCGCCACGUCGUUCAUACCCGGCCGUGCAGCAGUAGCAGUUGGCCCCGCUGCUCGUGCCUGACGUCGCGCCACACCGCUCGUACCCGGCCGCGCAGCAGUAGCUGUUGGCCCUCCACCACCUCGCCAGUUAACGCCUCCUCCUCCUCCUUCCUCUCGCCAGUUUCGGGCAGCGGCAGCGGCGUCCCACUUCCCCGGCCCGACGGACGCGUUGAGCUCGGCCGCAUGAAAGGGCCCGUGCAUAGAUUGGAGCCUCGUGAUGUCGGCGGCGACGCAGGCCUCGUCCUUGGCGGCAUGGCCAGAGCGUCGGGCCAGGCGCAAUGCGCAGCCUCAUAGGAGAGCAGGGCCGCGCAGCAGCCGAUGUCGGCGGCGAGGGUCGCGGGUGAGUCCGGCGGCGGCGGCGGGGCCGCUCAUGCCCGGCUCCGGCGCGUCGUGCGGGUCGCUCCGUCCCCGAGCUCAGCCGGGAGGGCCCGAUGUCCCGCCCCCGCAGCAGCUGCCAGCCCUGCUCGUGCCCAGCUUCCUCGCGUUGCCGCGGCCCGCAUGGGCCCUGACGCAGUCACCCCUGCAGGACGCCGGUGUGGAACUCGCGCCCGACCUCGACUCUUUCCCGAUGCAGCCGCCCCUGCCGGACGCCGGCCGACGAGCCUCCAAGCGCCGGCGCUCGUCAUCGACGCCUCUCCUGUGCAGGCACGUCAGGAGAAAGACGAAAGACAUGGUAGAAGGAGUUGACUUAUCUGCCAAGUCAGCCCUAAUGGGUGGGCCCGCCUGUCAUAAACAGGCUUAAAUCAUCUAAAGUUGUCAUUAUCUAAAAGUGGUAGUUUUUAGUCACAAAAUUAGAAAAUUUUGGUAGUUUUCGGUCAUUUUUUAAAAAUUGGUAGUUCUAUGGGACGGAUACCCUUAAAAUGAUAGUUUUUUGUCAAUCACUCUGAUACUAUCGACCAGAGUACGAGAUUGAUCGUCUUGUCCGAGACAAAUCGCAUCGUAUCACUUCACGUACACUGCUCCACUAAAGAAACGUAAUAAGACACUGCCCAAUACGUACCGUGUGUGUAUGUUGAUCACGACCGACCAAGCCCAGGAGAUACCGGGCCCAUGAGCUUCGCAUGGCAGCAUGCUCGUGAAAAUGGCGUACCAGUGGCGAUCUAUGGAUCUUGAACGGAGUAUAGAUCAGUUCCAAAGUCAAAAUUUGGUCGAUGGUCUCGAUGCUUGAUGAAGCCUAGACUAACUAACGCAAAGUUGGCGAUGGUCCAGGACACUUGGGUAGUGGCCGUGCGACCCAAUCGAUAUGCAUGCUCCAACCUGGGACCAUAAUUAAUGCCGCAACGUUAAUCUAAUCCAUGGACGCAUCGAGCCACAUAAAAACCUGGCUUUGCAGGAGUACUCCUCGUAUGCCACUUGCACAGUGUGGAGCGCGGAGUCAAAGCACCACGCUCUAGGUUAGCAGUGAAGAAAUGUGAGGAUUAACUUUGACUAGGGUAUUUAAUCAAUCCGUGCUCCACGAGAUCGGCGUUUAACAGGGCACUAAUCCAGGAUUAGAGCGAGGCUGCUUCCUAGAUGCCUAGUGGUCACUGAUGACUGCCGUUUUUUAAAACUGUGAUUCUUGGAGGGAGAAGAGGUUUCAUAUGGUCCAUGACUCUCACAUGUGAGCUUUCAAGAGGGACCGGGGCUUCGUAUCCGGCACGACAACGAUGGUGGUUCACUACCUCCUGUCUGGUAACUCACUAACGGUUUCUUGGAGGUCUGACUAAAAAAGUAACAAGUACUCCCGCCGUUCCAUAAUAUAAGAGCGAGUGUAGUGUAAGAAAUGCUCUUAUAUUAUGGGCACUAGUGUAAGAAACGCUCGUAUAUUAUGGGACGAAGGGAGUAGAAUUUAGCUUUGAUGACCAUCCGAGGCGAUUGUCUUGAGCUUGCCUUAUGUUUUUUAGGUGUGCUUGUCUUCUGUUGGAGCGUAGUGAUGGGGGAACGCAUACGGUAGGCCCACCACGACAUAUGGCCUAACCAAAAGCCCGGGCCCAUAAAGAUUACAACUCAUAAGACGAUCAAGUAGAUGGGCUUCUUUCAGUCGGUGACUAGUUAACAGUCGUUCCCCGGUUAGGUCGGACAUCACAUGCUAGCGGAUGAAGAGGGAUGUAGUCGACGAUCUUCAACAGUGCAAUAUCUAGUUAAAUACAACCAUUAUCACCGAAAAUUGCUUUUGAAGGCCGAGCUCCAUAGAGGCCUCCAUUUGCAAUUUUUAAAAUCCAUUUAAAUUCAUAUUUCUACGUUUCAAAAAAGUUAUGAAAAAAUACACAUAUACAUGGAGGCAUAAUGUACAUGUGUGUAAUUUUUCAAGACGAAAUACGUUGGAAUGAGGGCUGUGCAAAAUACAAACAAAUCUGAGACUUUUUAACACAUGAUACUAUUAAUCCUCAAAGUCCAUGAAUUUGUUCUUUUGCACAGGUCGUAUUUCACCCUGAAUUUUUACACACAUAUACAUUUCAUCCUUGUGUACUUACGUUUUUUCUAGUUUUUUUUGAAACGGAAAGUUUAAAUUUUGAAUAUUUCAAAAGAAAACCGGGCUGCUUGGUCACCAAAACGCUCCACUCCAUUAUCACCUAGCUAUGGCCAUGAAAUGUCGGAUGUGCUUGCCCUCUAAUGUUAGCAUUUAUACCAGCCCGUUAUGAGACCUCUCCUAGCGCACUCCGUAUAAGCCGGGAGGAGGGCACCAUGGUGAGGGUUGAACUCUCUUGUAACCUUAUGUGCAAAGGCAAAAACACCACACAGAGGAGUGUUAUUCUGAACACCAGUGGCAAAAAGGUUUAGUACGACAACACGGAUCCUAUCUCUGGAGAUUCACGAGUGUAGUCAUUAAACGCCCAGUGCUUUUGUCUGAUUAUUGCAAUCUUAAUUAUUGAGGCAACCCCGUGAGAUGGAUAGGGCCUUCGGUUGGAUAGCUGACUCUUGAUGCAGGACGUGUGUCGGUUAAGAUGUAAUUUGGACACAUCCCCCACUUCGGUUCGUAAGAAGCACAUCUCGAUGGGUGACAUCCGGCGCACAAAUUAAGAUCAUAUCUGGUCUCUCCACAAUAUACAAUUGUAAGCAUUAAGAUUUCAUACUCAUGCCUAUUUUUAUUAUAAAUGUUUCCCUUCGGUUGUUUGAUUUUGAUCCGGUCAAAAGCUGCAAUUGUUUCUUUAACAAAAGCGUGUUUGUGACCCUACCUUAAAGGGCAUCAUCCUCCCAUGGGUUCGAUAACUCAGGUUCACCUCUGGGGAAAAAGGCAAGAAUCCUUUCUGCUCCAUUUCCGGAUCACCAAAGGAAGUAAUCAGUGUUCUUGGGCCCCUUGGUCUUCUUCGACUUGACCGUGACCACAUAUGGUCCUCGUUCAAUAAGUUCUCCAACACAACGCUCAUGGGUUCCCCACGCCGAGGCGCUCGUGAUCCGGCCGUUCUGGCGAAGGUACGCCAGUCCUGCGAUAUGGUUAAUUGAAUUCAAUUACUCGGCUCAGAAUGAGGAAGUAAAAGUCUUACCACAAAGUGAAGGUGGAAUAAAAGACAAACCUCGCCAGCUCGGCAUGCUCGGCUAUGGCCUACGUCGUCUCCCAUGGUCCGGGAGGUGUUAUCCUUUGCCGAGGGCUUGCAGAGGAUGGUCAACAUCCCGCCGAGGUCCUUCCCCCUACAGAGGUUUCAGAUCACCGAAACCUCACUGUUUGUUACAUACCUCCAUAAAGGAGAUGCUUGGGCCUAGAGGGGUCGGACCCUGUUGUGGAGCAUGACGUGGAUCACAUCCACUAAAGUGAUGCCCUCGUCAAUGUGGGACUUUAGCCCUUUCUGAAGCUCCACGCCCUCCUCCUUGUUCCCCCAGUCGAGGUUCUUGUCCGUCCAGGGGUGCAACCUCUUCAAGGGGCGGCUGAUACGUCCAUUUUGCAUCAUCUUUUCCUGCUGUUAUUUGUAAUGUUUUUGAUCAAUAUAAUACUUUGUGGAGCAAUUCUAAUGCCUUUUCUCUCUUAAUUUGCAAGAUUUACUUGAAGAGGGAGAUUGCCGGCAGCUGGAAUUGUGGACCUGACAAAGCUAUGUCAGAGAUACCUAUUCUGCACAUUUCCAAAUGAGCUGAAAUUUCAGGGAGAAUUAUUUCAGAAUAAAUAAAAAAUAUUGGAGAAAAGAAAUACCAAAGGGGGCCACCCAGGUGCCGACAAGGCACCAGGGCACGCCCACCCCCUGGGUGUGCCCUGGUGGCUUGUAGGGCCCUUGGCCAGCCUCCGGUGCCCAUCUUCUGGUAUAUAAGCCCAUUUGCCCUAGAAAAAAUAAGGAGAGGACUUUCGGGACGGAACACCGCCGUCUCGAGGCGGAACCUGGGCAGGAGCACUUUUGCUCGCCGGCGGAGCGAUUCCGUUGGGGAUACUUCCCUCCGGGAGGGGGAAAUCGAAGCCAUUGACAUCACCAGCAACCCUCUCACCAUGGGAGGAUCAAUCUUCAUCAAUAUCUUCAACAUCACCAUCUCAUCUCAAACCCUAGUUCAUCUCUUGUAUUCAGUAUUUGUAUCAAAACCUUAGAUUGGUACCUGUGGGUUGCUAGUAGUGUUGAUUACAUCUUAUAGUUGAUGAUAGUUGGUUUAUUUGGUGGAAGAUUAAAUGUUCAUAUCCUUAAUGCUAUUCACUACCCCUCUGAUCUUGAACAUGAAUAUGAUUUGUGAGUAGUUACUUUUGUUCUUGAGGACAUGGGAGAAGUCUUGUCAUAAGUAAUCAUGUGAAUUUGUUAUUCGUUCGAUAUUUUGAUGAUAUGUAUGUUGCUGUUUCCCUUAGUGGUGUUAUGUGAACGUCUACUACAUGCCACUUCAGCAUCUCUGGGCCUAAGGGAAGGCAUUGUGGAGUAGUAAUUAGAUGAUGGGUUGCUAGAGUGACGGAAGUUUAAAUCCUAGUUUAUGCGCUGUUCCGUAAGGGGCUGAUUUGGAUCCAUAUGUUUAAUGCUAUGGUUAGAUUUAUCUUAAUUCUUCUUUCGUAGUUGCGGAUGCUUGCAAGAGGGGUUAAUCAUAAGUGGGAGGCUUUUUUAAGUAAGAACAACACCUAAGCAUCCACCCACAUAUCAAAUUAUCAAAGUAACGUAGGCGAAUCAAAUCAACAUGAUGAAAGUGACUAGAUGAAAUUCCCGUGUGCCCUCAAGAACGCUUAACUUAUUAGAAGAGACCGUUCCGGCCUGUCCUUUGCUAUAAAAAGGAUUGGGCUACCUUGCUGCACCUUAGUUACUAUUGUUACUUGUUGCUCGUUACAAAUUACCUUGCUAUCAAACUAUCUGUUACCGAUAAUUUCAGUCCCCGCAGAAAAUACCUUGCUGAAAACCGCUUGUCAUUUCCUUCUGCCCCUUGUUGGGUUUGAUGCUCUUACUUAUCGAAAGGACUAACAUUGAUCCCCUAUACUUGUGUGUCAUCAAGAAUAUUUUCUGGCACCGUUGCCGGGGAAUGAAGCGCCUUUGGUAAGUUGAAUUUGGCAAGGAAACAUUCAUAUUAUAUGCUGAAAUUUACUGUCACUUGUUAUUAUGGAAAACAAUCCUUUGAGGGGUUUGUUCGGGGUAUCUUCACCCCGACCGGAGGUACAAAGAGUUGCCCCUCAACCUACUGCACGCAUUGAAUUUUUUUAUUAUGAGAUUCCUUCGGGUAUGAUAGAGAAACUGCUAGCUAAUCCUUAUGCAGGAGAUGGAACAGUACAUCCCGAUAUGCACUUAAUCUAUGUGGAUGAAGUUUAUGGAUUAUUUAAGCCUGCAUGUUUCUGAAGAUGGAGUUAAAGAAGAAGGUUUUCCCUUUAUCUUUGGAGGGAAAGGCAUUGACAUGGUAUAGGCUAUAUGAUGAUAUUGAAACGUGGGAUUGGAACCGAUUGAAAUUGGAAUUUCAUCAAAAGUUUUAUCCUAUGCAUCUGGUUCAUCGUGAUCGGAAUUAUUUAUAUAAUUGUUGGACUUGUGAAGGAUAAAGCAUCGCUCAAGCUUGGGGGAGGCUUAAGUACAUGAUGUACACAUGCCCCAAUCAUGAGCUCUCGAGGGAAAUUAUCUUACAAAUUUUUUAUGCUCAGCUUUCUCAUGAUGAUCGAACCAUGCUCGAUUCUUCUUCUGCUGGUUCCAUUAUGAAGAAGGCUAUUGAAUUUAGAUGGGAUCUUUUGGAAAGAAUUAAAUGCAACUCUGAAAGUUGGGGAGUCAACAAAGGAGAAGAGUCAAGUAUAAAACUUGAGUUUGAUUGUGUUAAAUCUUUUAUGGAUACUGAUACUUUUUCAUAAGUUUAGCACUAAAUACGGACUUGACUUCUAGAUAGUAGCCUCCUUUUGUGAAUUAUUUUCUACUCAUGUUGAGCUCCCUAAGGAGAAGUUGUUUAAAUAUCACCCCCCUAUUAAAGAAAAUAUUGAGGAACCUGUUGUACUUAAGGUUGAAACUAUCAUUUACAAUGUUGACCCAGUUGUGCCUACUACUUACAUUGAGAAACCUCCUUUUCCUGUUAGGAUUAAAGAACAUGCUAAAGCUACAACUGUGGUUAAUAAAAGUAAUAUUAGAACACCUAGACCCGUUGAACAAGUUAAAGUUGAACCUAAUAUUGCUAUGGUUAAUGAUCUCUUGGUCGAUAAUAUUGAUGGGCAUUUUAUUUACUUUUGCGAUGAUGCUGCUAGAAUUGCCAAACCUAUUAGAAGUGAAUGAGAUAUGCUAGAUAAGAAUAAACCCGUAGUGGGAAUGCCUGUCGUUUCUAUUAAAAUUGGAGAUCAUUGCUAUCAUGGUUUAUGUGACAUGGGUGCUAGUGUUAGUGCUAUUCCUUCUACUUUAUAUCAAGAAAUUAUGAAUGACAUUGCACCUGCUGAGAUUCAAGAUAUUGAUGACUAUUAAGCUAGCAAAUUGAGAUACUAUUUCACCACUUGGGAUUGUUAGAGCUGUUCAAGUCUUGUGUGGUAAGAUUAAGUACCCUACUGAUUUCUUAGUACUUGGUUCUCAACGAGAUAAUUUUUGCCCAAUUAUAUUUGGUAGACCUUUCUUGAAUACCGUUAAUGCUGAAAUUGAUUGUGUCAAAGAAAAGGUUAGAGUUAAAUUUGGCAAUGUAUCUCAUGAAUUCAAUUUCUCUAAGUUUAAUAAACAACCUCAUGAAAAAGAAUUGUCUAGUAAGGAUAAAACUAUUGGUCUUGCUUCUAUUGCCAUGCCUCCUACACAUCUGCUAGAACAAUAUUUGCUAGACCAUGAAAAUGAUAUGCAUAUGAAUGAAAGAAAUGAGAUAUACAAGAUAUUCUUUGAUCAACACUACUGCAGGAUGCUGCUAACGCGACACUACAAUCAGCAACCCUUCGACGAAAUUGUGUGCGAUGCAUUAAUCGCGAACGGUGAUGUAAAAAAACGUCAAAAAAGAUGCAAAACGUUUGCGAUGGCGGAUACAUCAAACACAGUUCAGAUUUUAGUUGCGUGUGCGAUGCGGUUGAUCCAUACGAACUGUUUGCGAUGAGACAGACCAACAGAAACGGGCAGCCAGAUCAAGUUGUGUGUGCGAUAUGCGGCAUACAGUUCGCUCCGAUGAACCGUUUGCGAUGAUCGAGUUGAACACAAACGAUUCAGCGUAACAAGAUGUGUGUGAUACCCGGCAAACAGGUCGGUAAUCAGAAUUGUGUGCGAUCAUUAUAGAUAGGCCAUACAGUCUUUUUUGUGAAUUGUGUGCUCGAUAGGGCACACAAUUCAAGAAACCAACCUGUGGGCGAUAAUGUAAAAGACCUCUGUCGAAUACAUAUUACUAACCGUCUGCGAUGAUAUUGACAGGGGAAACAGAGAUAACGAAGUAAUAUGAGCGAACGGAAAUAGAGAUAUAUACAGUCUGCUUUAUUUAGUCCUUCUUCUUGUUGUUGUUGUUGGAUGGCCUCGCGACAUUGUCUUGGCGAGGACGCUUCUUGCCGCUGACCAUUGGCUUUUCACCGCCGCCGCCUUCAUCGUCGUCAUUGCUUUCGUCGUUGUCCUCCUCCUUGUUCGACCAUUCCUCGUCAUCAUCAUCAUCGUCCUCUUCUUCGUCCUCCGUUGGCUCCUCGUCCGUCUGGUUGUCGUCUGACGACUCCGGAGGCGGCGUCCCUUCCAUGAUCCGGAUAAAAUCGAGGUCUGGGUUCGACACCGGACUCAUGGAAGACGAGCGGGAUGAUUCCGAUGUUGACCUAUCACUGGGCGCCAGACUGCUGGUGGAACUAUCGUCCUCGGUGUCGCUCGACAUGGCUGCGGUAUGUAUACAAACCGUGAGAAAGCGAUAUUGCAGAGUGUGUGCAAGUGUGUAGCGCGGCCGUCCGGGGACGAUGAAGAUGGUGGACACUUAAGCGGGGUAUGCAGAGAAGAGGAAUGUCAACUGAAGUGGGGGACUAACGUAUUAUCUAACCACUGAUAUAAUCAACCACAAUUAUUUGUACCCAGUCAGUCCAAAUUCCCGGGGUUGCGCAAUUCUCAAUGUGAUAAUUACGCACACGCGUUGGAGCAUCCAAAUAUGAAACAAGCAUUUUUCAUAGUACUACUCCCUCCGUACCGUCAACCUAGGUGGAAAAAAAUGAGAGAACUUGAUGAUUAUUUGGUAAUCAAUACCAUUGCGUGCAGAGAAUUGACCAUUGCAUGUUAUGCUAAGUAGUUUGAAGUCAUUGAAUGCAUACAAGCCCGAGGACUCCUAUUGGCUGAUUUCUUUUUUCAGGACAAAAAACAAGGAACGAGUUUUGGGAUUAUUUGGCUUUCCUAAUGUGACUUAUGCACCGAUACGAAUGGAGUA